CCUACGGGAGGCAGCAGUGGGGAAUAUUGGACAAUGGGGGGAACCCUGAUCCAGCGACGCCGCGUGAGUGAAGAAGUAUUUCGGUAUGUAAAGCUCUAUCAGCAGGGAAGAAAAUGACUGUCCCUGACUGAUAAGCCCCGGCUAACUACGUGCCAGCAGGCGCGGGUCUACGUAGGGGGCAAGCGUUAUCCGGAUUUACUGGGUGUAAAGGGAUCGUAGAGGGUGCAGAAAUGCUGAUGUGAAAGGUCGGGGCUCAACCGCAUGACUGCAUUGGAAACUGUUGAAUUGGAGUACAGUAGAGGUGAGCGGAAUUCCUAGUGUAGCGGUGAAAUGCGUAGAUAUUAGGAGGAACACCAGUGGCGAAGGCGGCUUACUGGACUGUAACUGACGCUGAGGCUCGAAAGCGUGGGUAGCAAACAGGAUUAGAUACCCCGGUAGUC
rnacentral:rRNA from 1 species